rnacentral:lncRNA from 1 species
CCCAGCUGCCCACCCACAGACUAGUGGGUGACUCAGGAGUACCCUCUCCAUUUCUUACUGUGAUUUUGUCCAGAGCGCAACUUGUAUGCUAUGGGAAAUUCCCUAAGCAAAUUGUGUUCCUUUAUCUGCUGCAGGAUCUGGCAGCGGUGGCAACCACGAUGGUCUCCACUUGUCCAUGUGGACUUUUCAGCUGGCCGGCUUCACCCCGCAGCUCCUGCGCAUGUGCUUGCCCCACGAGCCCUACAGGGUUCCCGAGUUCUCUUGUGCCCUCCGCGAGGUCUUGGGCCUUAUUUUCCAUCGAGCUCGAAUUUCACCCUGAACUCGAGCGCCCUACUGCGGGACCUGCCUCCUCUUGCCUGGAGGCCCCCCUCAAGGAAGAAACCCGUGCUACGCCACUUCGCACGCGAGGGACCCGUGAAGAUCCCUCCUCUAAGCCUAACGUUUCCACUCUGACUGCCUCCGCUACAAGUGCCGGCCGGAUCCUGAAGACGGCGGUGAGAGCAGAAGAGCCGGAAGAACCGAUGGAGGUGGACGAUCAGGGUCUUGGAGUGCUCAGCGCACACAGCCAGCCCUGCAGGAGGUGUCCUUCCCUUUGGGAAGCCUGACCCAGCUCCAGCAGUGCUCCCUGGCCCAGUUCCCGGCUGCUCCCAUUGGCCAGACAAGGUGGCUUCUCUGGUACUGGGGAAAGACCACCAGCCCAGCUCCUCAGGCUCGCCGAUGGAGUGUGAGGCGACCCAGUGCAAGGAUCCUCCAGCUGUUGUGACAAGGAGCUCUUCUACACCAAGAGCCACCAGCCGCAGUUCCCGACAACCAAAAUUGUCAGCGCAACCCCAGCAGCUGCCACUGGUCCCUCCCCAGCAAUGGAGGUGGGAGAGAGAUCAGGGGCCCCCACCCGCUAAACGUGCACGCCAAUCCCUGAAAGGAUUCACGGAAAACACCGGCAGGUCAGGUAGAAUAACAUCAUCCAGGAGACUGAAAAAGAGGUGUGGCAAGAUCAAGCAGUUACGGUAAACUGCAGUGCCAGCCAGCCUGCCCCGAUGUCUCCCCAUCCCACGCCUGCCCCAUGUCUCCCCACCUGCUCUCCCUGCCCCAGGCCACCUACGUGUCACAGAUCCCAGCUCCUCCUCCUGCCUCUGACUUGGCCCAUGUGGCUGCUGGGCCCCUCAUCCUGCCUGUCCCUUCGCUUUUGACCACACCAAGAGUUGAGUAAAAAUUGAUAUCUAUGGCUGGGUACAGUGGCUCAUGCCUGUAAUCCCAGCAUGUUGGGAGGCCCAGUCAAGUGGAUCACCUGAGGUCAGGAGUUCAAGACCAGCAGAGCAACAUGAAGAAACCGGUUGCAUCUGUACUAAAAAUACAAAAUUAGCCAGGCAUGGUGGCGCAUGCCUGUAAUCCCAGCUACUCCGGAGGCUGAGGCAGGAGAAUCACUAGAACCCAGUAAGCACAGCUUGCGGUGAGCUGAGAUCGCACCGUUGCACACCAGCCUGGGCAAGAAGAACAAAACUUCAUAUAGAUAUAAAGAAUGUUUGCAUGUAGAUAUCUUGCAACAAUAAAACGUGAAGAAACGUGUAGAUCAACAAAUGUAGGGACCUCAUGAAAUUCAAAUGACAAUUUUAAUGUAUUGGAAGAAAGGCAGAACAGUCACUCUCCUCCACUGUGAGAAAGUGGCGCUUCCUACCCACAUGCAGAUUGUCCUGAGAUCCGUGGUGGCAGGAGCUGGAUGCUUCCACCACUCAUCCCUAAAGUUAUACAGAGGCUCUUACUGCAUCCUUUGGCCUGGAGCAGCACCGAGGCCGCCCUGAUGAGUAAAUGUGGAAAAUCAGUGGCUUCAGAAAAGGUACCCUUCUGAUAACCUCACAUGUGUCCAACAUCCCACUGGAAAAUGGAAAUGUGCAGUGAAUGCCAUUGGGCAGAGUGUCAUUGACAAGCACUGGCUCAGGCGCCGGAGGCUCUGUGAUUUACCACCUGUGUGCCCCAGGGCAGCCAACUGACCCCUCAAGGCUACAGCAAAACAGUGGCGAAACACCCCAGAAGCUGCUGUGUGCGUUAAAUGAGGCCUCACUGAAAACUGAUUUUUCCUAGUUCCUGGCCUAGUGCUCUAUAAAUAUCACUAUAUGUAUUAGCAACAUUGUAAUUGUAUUGAUUAAAAAUCUGUUUUUGUUAUUUUCUCCCCAUGUGUCAAUUCUAUUUCUGUGUCAGAAAAAAAGAAGUUGAAUCUCAGGUAACUCUCCGCAGCCCCCAAUGCGCCCCAGCAUUCUCCCUCACUGAGGGGAGUAAGAGAAACACAAACUUUAACACAUUUGGUCUCAACCUGGGGAAGAGAUCUGACUCUUCUGUGGCAUCUUGUACAGAGAAUGAAUCAAUCACAAAAUUGGCUUGGUUUAGGAAACUCUUUGAAGGUCUCCUUUUCUUUCUUUCUUUUUUUUUUUUUUUUUUUGAGACAGUUUUGUUCUGUCGCCCAGGCUGGAGUGCAGUGGCAUAAUCUCUGCUCACUGCUGCAACCUCCACCCCCUAGGCUCAAGUGAUUCUUCUGCCUCAGCUUCCUGAGUAGCGGGGACUACAGGUGAGCACUACCAUGCCCAGCUAAUUUUUUUGUAUUUUUAGUAGAGAUGGUGUUUCACCAUGUGGGCCAGGCUGGUCUUGAACUCCUGACCUUAGGUGAUCCACCCACUUUGGCCUCCCAAAGUGCUGGGAUUACAGGCGUGAGCCAUCAUGCCCAGUCAGGUCUCUUUUCUAAUCUUUCAAAAAAUUAACUUCCUCUUCCUAAAAGAGGAUUAGACAGAAAUCACACCAGAGAUUGCACUGGUUUUUCUUGCUCACUGCAGGCGUUUCCCCCUUGGGAAGAAAAGGAAACCCUGAGGUUCUAGGUGUGAAUCCUGACGGCCUCCUCUUGUGGUGAAUUGAUAACCC